rnacentral:misc_RNA from 1 species
GAGAGAUAAAAUCUCCAUUUUUUUUACUUGCGAUUUUGGUGUUAUGCAAUGUCUCUAGAUUUUACUUUGUGGGUUGGAAAAUAAGCUGUUGGGCGGGUAAGCAUGCGCAGUUGCGCACAUAUGAAGACACAGAAAGAAACUCUUUAAUUCAAGAACACAUUGAAAGCAAUUUGUUUUGUGUUAUUAUUGCCAUUUGUCUUUUUUGCUGGGCCAUUGUCGGUUCUUAAAAACGUGAAUGGAGCAUAACACAAGUACAGGAGUGAAAGGAAAGGGAGAAAAGGGAAAUUAUUA